rnacentral:lncRNA from 1 species
AAGGCUUAUCUACAAUAUCUAGAAGAAAUAACGAAAAAUGUAACACAUUGUAAAAACUUUUUCCAAUGCCAAAAUUCACUUAAUGGCGGACUGAAAGCAACAAGCGGCGACAUGUGCGCUCCGCUGCAGACUGGUAGAAGCCUAAACUACUAUUUACACUUGGUCCUGUUAUAUUUUAGGAGAAUACAGAGCCAGGAGACCGGGGUCCAUUUUAGGGAGGGGAUCCGGGUUUGGACACUUUCCUCUACUUUUUUAUCAAGUUUCGCUUUAAAAUGUAUAUUAGCAAGGGCGACUUGUGCAAAGACACUGCGG